GGGAAUCUUGAUCCGGAUGUGGAUGAAAAACUUCUCUAUGAUACAUUCAGCGCUUUUGGAGUUAUUGUUACUAAUCCUAAGAUUAUGAGAGAUCCUGAAACAGGGAACUCACGAGGCUUUGGUUUCAUUAGUUACGAUUCUUUUGACACAUCCGAUGGAGCAAUAGAGGCCAUGAAUGGUCAAUAUCUCUGUAAUCGCCAAAUAACCGUCUCAUAUGCAUACAAGAAAGACACCAAAGGAGAACGCCAUGGCACUCCAGCAGAGCGAACCCUAGCAGCAAGCAAUCCAGGAUUACAUAGAAACCGCCCACAUACC
rnacentral:misc_RNA from 1 species